rnacentral:rRNA from 1 species
UACGUAGGGCGCAAGCGUUGUCCGGAAUUAUUGGGCGUAAAGAGCUCGUAGGCGGCUUGUCACGUCGAUUGUGAAAGCUCGGGGCUUAACCCCGAGUCUGCAGUCGAUACGGGCUAGCUAGAGUGUGGUAGGGGAGAUCGGAAUUCCUGGUGUAGCGGUGAAAUGCGCAGAUAUCAGGAGGAACACCGGUGGCGAAGGCGGGACUCUGGGCCGAUACUGACGCUGAGGAGCGAAAGCGUGGGGAGCGAACAGG